CUACGGGGGGCUCCAGUGAGGAAUAUUGCGCAAUGGGGGAAACCCUGACGCAGCGACGCCGCGUGGAUGAUGAAGGCCUUCGGGUCGUAAAAUCCUGUCAGAAGGAAAGAAGUGUAUGGUAGCUAAUAUCUGCCAUACUUGACGGUACCUUCAAAGGAAGCACCGGCUAACUCCGUGCCAGCAGCCGCGGUAAUACGGGAGGGUGCAAGCGUUGUUCGGAAUUACUGGGCGUAAAGCGCGCGUAGGCGGUUUUAUAAGUCAGAUGUGAAAGUCCACGGCUCAACCAUGGAAGUGCAUUUGAAACUGUAAGACUUGAGUAUUGGAGGGGGUAGUGGAAUUCCCGGUGUAGAGGUGAAAUUCGUAGAUAUCGGGAGGAAUACCGGUGGCGAAGGCGACUAUCUGGCCAAAUACUGACGCUGAGGUGCGAAAGCGUGGGGAGCAAACAGGAUUAGAUACCCUCGUAGUC
rnacentral:rRNA from 1 species